UUGUCUGUGUGGUUUACAAGUUUCUUGGCGAUAUGGGGGAAAAGUUCCUCACAUACCAACGGAAAAUGGGCUUCAUAUACAUGUAAGUACAUUUUACUCAACUGUGGUUUAAAGUUUCAGUACUCAAGAGCGAUUGAAUAGCUCCUCUGAACACAGAUCCGCCAUUGCUAAGUUAUGGCACAGCCGCUUUACAUAGCUGGUAGCUCAAGUCCCCUCAAUGUGACUACACUAGUUGCUGCUGUACGCUAGUAAAUUCUGAUGACUUGCGAGCAUCGUAAUGACAAAAUGCUGUGGUGAAACAGUGAAUAUGUUAAGUAUACUUGUUGAUGGUAAAUUGUUUGACAUUGCUCGUUCUCAGUUGCCUUUCCCCUGCCUGAAGAUAGACAAAGGCUACCGUUAGCAUGCUAUUGCGUUAGCUCAUCAACUAGAUGCUGGGGCACUGCUCAUUUUUCACGUCUGCCCGGCAUUUCGCUGAUGAACUAACUAUUAGACGCCUUGCCAAUGUAUUUUACAGCGGCAAAAAUGCAUCUAGGCGACGUUGGAAAGACUGGUGUGCCGUCUGGGUAUGUUGGUUUUCAGUGCUGGGCAGUAGCGAAGCGACUAGUUUAACUACAUUCUCUAGUAGCUUGGUCGUAGCGUCACUACUAUGUAUCGAGUAGCUAACAUCCCUGUAGUUAAGCUAUUUUUCCUCAAGUAGCGACGUAGUCUACAAAAGCUACAAUUUGUCCCCCAUCGAUUUUACUCAAUGAUUUUUGUUUUACUUUCUCUAUCCUGAAACCUAGGCAGUCACACAGGGGUUCCCAAGACCCACCUGCGUAAACUCAAGUCAAAGGCUGCUGUCUCAUAAUAUGGCGAAGACGAGUCACCUGAAGGCCUAACUCGCCAUAGAAGACUGAAAGAAUUGUCCUGCAGGAUGCUGUGUCCUGCAAUCCUGUGUGCUGUGCUACAGACGCGUGUGGAGGUCAACCCAAAAUGGGCACAGUCUCACCACAGAAGAGUGAAAGAGGAUCCUGGCAGGGAGACGGUAGUGUCCUGCAGAAUGGUGAUGGGCCAAUCUUACAAGAGACCACAGAAAACUGAUAUAGUGAACUAUAGAAACAACAGUGCCUGCUGCAGUAUAACGAGGACACCCUGAGCAGAGAGCUCCAAUAGACCCAGGUCCAGUGUCUUGGCAGGGUGAAAUGGCACUGAUAUGGUGUCCUGCAGGAUGCUGUGUCCUGCAAUCCUGUUUUCUGUGCUACAGACGCGUGUGGAGGUCAACCCAAAAUGGGCACAGUCUCACCACAGAAGAGUGAAAGAGGCUCCCAGAAGUGAGACUGAGUGCCUGUUGCAGUAUGACGAGGACGCAGUGACCAGAGACCUUCAGUAGACCCUGCUGGCAUGAUUGGUGGCUGAAGAACAUGAAAUCAACAGCAAUGUUUAUAAUGUUGUACAUACCUGUAUAGUCUGUAUUAAAAGGCAGUACCUGUAGUAUUUUUCCUCUUACUUUCAUAUUUACCACAUAUUUACUAUGAAUUGACAACUUUUACUAAAAUCCAUUUUUUAUGUGCCCUGACUAAAACUAUCCUUAAACCUAACCUGUCAGAGAUGUAACAACAACCUGCUCUUAGCAAUGUGGCAGUAGUCUACUUGGAUGCAGCGGGGAACAUAGAACCCUUUUUUGAAAAAGCAUUGUAUGUUUCUGAGUUUUAUGAAUUGUGCCCUUCCCAAACAUCAUGCAUAGGCUAAGCGUAUCUAUGACACGCUGAUUUGAACUCACUAUCGCGUGUGUCCAAUACGCAUUUUCGAGUUAAGUCGUGCUCCACAACGCCCUGUGACAGGUUAGGUUUAGGGAUGGUUUUGGUUUAGGCACAAUCUAGGUAGAAAUUCGCCUAAUCUCGCUGUUCUUGGCAAAAGUAAAGCAACAGAAACAUUACUUCACUGACAGGUUAGGUUUAGGGGUGGUUUUGGUUAGG